rnacentral:rRNA from 1 species
UAGGGAAUUUUCGGCAAUGGGGGGAACCCUGACCGAGCAACGCCGCGUGAAGGAAGAAGGAAUUCGUUUCGUAAACUUCUGUUAUAAAGGAAGAAAGGGAUGUAUAGGGAAUGAUACAUCUAAGACGGUACUUUAUGAGGAAGCCACGGCUAACUACGUGCCAGCAGCCGCGGUAAUACGUAGGUGGCAAGCGUUAUCCGGAAUUAUUGGGCGUAAAGAGGGAGCAGGCGGCAAUAGAGGUCUGUGGUAAAAGGCUGAAGCUUAACUUCAGUAAGCCAUGGAAACCAGAUAGCUAGAGGACAGCAGAGGAACGCGGAAUUCCAUGUGUAGCGGUGAAAUGCGCAGAUAUAUGGAGGAACACCAGUGGCGAAGGCGGCGUUCUGGGCUGUAGCUGACGCUCAGUCCCGAAAGCGUGGGGAGCAAAUA